GACGAACGCUGGCGGCGUGCUUAACACAUGCCAGUCGAACGGAAAGGCCCUGCUUUUGUGGGGUGCUCGAGUGGCGAACGGGUGAGUAACACGUGAGUAACCUGCCCUUGACUUUGGGAUAACUUCAGGAAACUGGGGCUAAUACCGGAUAGGAGCUCCUGCUGCAUGGUGGGGGUUGGAAAGUUUCGGCGGUUGGGGAUGGACUCGCGGCUUAUCAGCUUGUUGGUGGGGUAGCGGCUUACCAAGGCUUUGACGGGUAGCCGGCCUGAGAGGGUGACCGGCCACAUUGGGACUGAGAUACGGCCCAGACUCCUACGGGAGGCAGCAGUGGGGAAUAUUGCACAAUGGGCGGAAGCCUGAUACAGCAACGCCGCGUGCGGGAUGACGGCCUUCGGGUUGUAAACCGCUUUCGCCUGUGACGAAGCGUGAGUGACGGUAAUGGGUAAAGAAGCACCGGCUAACUACGUG
rnacentral:rRNA from 1 species